GGCAGCGUAGCUAAAUGGUAGAGCGCAGCGUUGUUUAAUAGCGUUUGAUUUCCAAAAGCGGUGAUUUCCUGAACAGCGUUGAGAUGUGGGUUCGAAUCCCACCGUUGCCA
rnacentral:tRNA from 1 species